AUCACUCAAACUGGGCCUUUCAGGUCACAUGCCGGAGGCUGCUGCAGACAGGACCCAGCUGCCUCAAAUCUGCCGCCUAACAUUAGCUGCGGUUCGAAAAUCCUGACAGCACAGGGCUUCCUGGGCUCUGCAGAGCAAACUAGAAAGAGCUGGGAUCCAGGCACUAUGUUCUCUGAAGAACUGUGGCUGGAAAAUGAGAAAAAGUGUGCUGUGGUUCGGAAGUCUAAGCAGGGCAGGAAACGCCAAGAACUGCUGGCCAUAGCCUUGGGGGUGAAGGUCCACACGUUCCGAGGCCCACAUUGGUGUGAAUAUUGUGCCAAUUUCAUGUGGGGGCUCAUCGCCCAAGGGGUCCGGUGCUCAGACUGUGGAUUGAACGUACACAAACAGUGUUCCAAGCACGUUCCCAAUGACUGCCAACCUGAUCUCAAGAGGAUCAAGAAAGUGUACUGUUGUGACCUCACAACACUUGUGAAGGCUCACAACACUCAGAGACCCAUGGUGGUAGACAUAUGCAUUCGGGAAAUUGAAGCAAGAGGAUUAAAAUCAGAAGGCCUUUAUAGAGUCUCUGGGUUCACUGAACACAUUGAAGAUGUCAAAAUGGCAUUUGACAGAGAUGGUGAAAAGGCCGAUAUAUCUGCCAAUGUCUAUCCAGACAUAAACAUCAUCACUGGAGCCCUUAAACUGUAU
rnacentral:sRNA from 1 species